rnacentral:rRNA from 1 species
GACGAACGCUGGCGGCGUGCUUAACACAUGCAAGUCGAGCGGUAAGGCCCUUUCGGGGGUACACGAGCGGCGAACGGGUGAGUAACACGUGGGUGACCUGCCCUCAGCUCUGGGAUAAGCCUGGGAAACCGGGUCUAAUACCGGAUAUGACUCCAUGACGCAUGUUGUGGGGUGGAAAGCCUUGUGCGGCUGAGGAUGGGCCCGCGGCCUGUCAGCUUGUUGGUGGGGUGAUGGCCUACCAAGGCGACGACGGGUAGCCGGCCUGAGAGGGCGACCGGCCACACUGGGACUGAGACACGGCCCAGACUCCUACGGGAGGCAGCAGUGGGGAAUCUUGCGCAAUGGGCGAAAGCCUGACGCAGCGACGCCGCGUGAGGGAUGACGGCCUC